GCUUGUCUCAAAGAUUAAGCCAUGCAUGUCUAAGUAUAAACGAUUUUAUACGUGAAACUGCGAAUGGCUCAUUAAAUCAGUUAUCAAAUACGUGAUGGUCGCCUACUACAUGGAUAACCGUAGUAAUUCUAGAGCUAAUACAUGCAUCAAGCCCCGACUUCUGGAAGGGGUGUAUUUAUUAGAUGGAAACCAAUGCGGGGCAACCCGGUAUAUGGUGAUUCAUAAUAACUUUCGGAUCGAUUUAUCGAUGCAUCAUUCAAGUUUCUGCCCUAUCAGCUUUGGAUGGUAGGGUAUUGGCCUACCAUGGCUUUAACGGGUAACGGAGAAUUAGGGUUCGAUUCCGGAGAGGGAGCCUGAGAAAUGGCUACCACAUCCAAGGAAGGCAGCAGG
rnacentral:rRNA from 1 species